rnacentral:misc_RNA from 1 species
UCUCCGUAGGUGAACCUGCGGAGGGAUCAUUACAGAGUUCUCGCCCUCGCGGGUAGAUCUCCCACCCACUGUUUUCGUUCCUGUGUUGCCUUGGCGGGCCGCCGGGCCCCGCCCGGCCGCCGGCUCCGGGUGGCUCGCCCCCGCCAGAGGCCCAGCAAACUCUGAAUGUUAGUGUCGUCUGAGUACUAUAUAAUAGUUAAAACUUUCAACAACGGAUCUCUUGGUUCUG